rnacentral:pre_miRNA from 7 species
GACCGCCAGUGAAAAUCGAUUUUCACUGGCGGUCGACGUAAUAAAACCGCCAGUGAAAAUCGAUUUUCACUGGCGUUC